UACGUAGGGUGCAAGCGUUAAUCGGAAUUACUGGGCGUAAAGCGUGCGCAGGCGGUUUUUUAAGCUUGAUGUGAAAUCCCCGGGCUUAACCUGGGAACUGCAUUGAGGACUAGAAGGCUAGAGUACGGCAGAGGGGGGUGGAAUUCCACGUGUAGCAGUGAAAUGCGUAGAGAUGUGGAGGAACACCGAUGGCGAAGGCAGCCCCCUGGGUCAAGAUUGACGCUCAUGCACGAAAGCGUGGGGAGCAAACAGG
rnacentral:rRNA from 1 species